rnacentral:rRNA from 1 species
CGGCAUGCUUAACACAUGCAAGUCGAACGGAAACGAUGGAAGCUUGCUUCCAGGCGUCGAGUGGCGAACGGGUGAGUAAUACUUGGGAAUCUGCCUAAUAGUGGGGAACAACUCGGGGAAACUCGGGCUAAUACCGCAUAAUCUCUUCGGAGGAAAGGGGGCCUCUACAUGUAAGCUCUCGCUAAUAGAUGAGCCCAAGUCAGAUUAGCUUGUUGGUAAGGUAACGGCUUACCAAGGCUACGAUCUGUAGCUGGUCUGAGAGGAUGAUCAGCCACACUGGGACUGAGACACGGCCCAGACUCCUACGGGAGGCAGCAGUGGGGAAUAUUGCACAAUGGGCGAAAGCCUGAUGCAGCAAUGCCGCGUGUGUGAAGAAGGCUCUAGGGUUGUAAAGCACUUUCAAUAAGGAAGAAAAGCAUAAGGUUAAUAACCUUAUGUAUUGACGUAACUUAUACAAGAAGCACCGGCUAAUUCCGUGCCAGCAGCCGCGGUAAUACGGAAGGUGCAAGCGUUAAUCGGAAUUACUGGGCGUAAAGCGCGCGUAGGCGGUUAUCUAAGUCGGAUGUGAAAUCCUCGGGCUCAACCCGGGAACUGCAUCCGAAACUAAAUAACUAGAGUAUGGGAGAGGUAAGUAGAAUUUCCGGUGUAGCGGUGAAAUGCGUAGAUAUCGGAAGGAAUACCAGUGGCGAAGGCGGCUUACUGGACCAAUACUGACGCUGAGGUGCGAAAGCGUGGGGAGCGAACAGGAUUAGAUACCCUGGUAGUCCACGCCGUAAACGAUGAGAACUAGAUGUUGGGAGGGUUAGCCUCUCAGUGUCGCAGCUAACGCAUUAAGUUCUCCGCC